AUUGAACGCUGGCGGCAGGCCUAACACAUGCAAGUCGAGCGAGCGGCGGACGGGUGAGUAAUGUCUGGGAAACUGCCUGAUGGAGGGGGAUAACUACUGGAAACGGUAGCUAAUUCCGCAUACCAUCAGAUGUGCCCAGAUGGGAUUAGCUAGUGGGUGGGGUAACGGCUCACCUAGGCGACGAUCCCUAGCUGGUCUGAGAGGAUGACCAGCAACAGUGGAACUGAGACACGGUCCGAACUCCUAGGGAGGGAAGAGUUGGGGAAUAUUGGACAAUGGGCGAAAGCCUGAUGCAGCCAUGCGGGGGGUGGGAAGAAGGUCUUGGGAUUGUAAAGCACUUUGAGAUGGGAGGCGUUACCAACAGAGUAAGCACCGGCUAACUUCGUGCCAGCAGCCGCGGUAAUUC
rnacentral:rRNA from 1 species